AACGCUAGCUACAGGCUUAACACAUGCAAGUCGAGGGGCAGCAUGGUCUUAGCUUGCUAAGGCCGAUGGCGACCGGCGCACGGGUGAGUAACACGUAUCCAACCUGCCGUCUACUCUUGGACAGCCUUCUGAAAGGAAGAUUAAUACAAGAUGGCAUCAUGAGUCCGCAUGUUCACAUGAUUAAAGGUAUUCCGGUAGACGAUGGGGAUGCGUUCCAUUAGAUAGUAGGCGGGGUAACGGCCCACCUAGUCUUCGAUGGAUAGGGGUUCUGAGAGGAAGGUCCCCCACAUUGGAACUGAGACACGGUCCAAACUCCUACGGGAGGCAGCAGUGAGGAAUAUUGGUCAAUGGGCGAGAGCCUGAACCAGCCAAGUAGCGUGAAGGAUGACUGCCCUAUGGGUUGUAAACUUCUUUUAUAAAGGAAUAAAGUCGGGUAUGCAUACCCGUUUGCAUGUACUUUAUGAAUAAGGAUCGGCUAACUCCGUGCCAGCAGCCGCGGUAAUACGGAGGAUCCGAGCGUUAUCCGGAUUUAUUGGGUUUAAAGGGAGCGUAGAUGGAUGUUUAAGUCAGUUGUGAAAGUUUGCGGCUCAACCGUAAAAUUGCAGUUGAUACUGGAUAUCUUGAGUGCAGUUGAGGCAGGCGGAAUUCGUGGUGUAGCGGUGAAAUGCUUAGAUAUCACGAAGAACUCCGAUUGCGAAGGCAGCCUGCUAAGCUGCAACUGACAUUGAGGCUCGAAAGUGUGGGUAUCAAACAGAAUUAGAUACCCUGGUAGUCCACACGGUAAACGAUGAAUACUCGCUGUUUGCGAUAUACAGCAAGCGGCCAAGCGAAAGCGUUAAGUAUUCCACCUGGGGAGUACGCCGGCAACGGUGAAACUCAAAGGAAUUGACGGGGGCCCGCACAAGCGGAGGAACAUGUGGUUUAAUUCGAUGAUACGCGAGGAACCUUACCCGGGCUUAAAUUGCAGAUGAAUUACGGUGAAAGCCGUAAGCCGCAAGGCAUCUGUGAAGGUGCUGCAUGGUUGUCGUCAGCUCGUGCCGUGAGGUGUCGGCUUAAGUGCCAUAACGAGCGCAACCCUUGUUGUCAGUUACUAACAGGUUCCGCUGAGGACUCUGACAAGACUGCCAUCGUAAGAUGUGAGGAAGGUGGGGAUGACGUCAAAUCAGCACGGCCCUUACGUCCGGGGCUACACACGUGUUACAAUGGGGGGUACAGAGGGCCGCUACCACGCGAGUGGAUGCCAAUCCCCAAAACCUCUCUCAGUUCGGACUGGAGUCUGCAACCCGACUCCACGAAGCUGGAUUCGCUAGUAAUCGCGCAUCAGCCCCGGCGCGGUGAAUACGUUCCCGGGCCUUGU
rnacentral:rRNA from 1 species